CCUCUCAGUGCUGGUGAGCUGAGCAGCGCCUGGUACAAUAUUCAGUUCCUCUCUUCAGACUCCUUCAUCUCACAGUCUGGGGUAUACUACGGUUCUGCAGCUGAGAUACUCACACAUCCUCUUCUUUAUAAGCUCUAAUGUUUGUUUUUGGUUUUUCUAUCUCUAGUCAGUGGACAUUAGGAGAUACUUCCUCGACAUUAUAAGGGGUCCAGAGCAUCGGUUCUGCUGGUUUAAAACCACCCAAACCUGCUACUCUGAUCAGGGGGGAUUCUCUUAUCAUGUCAACACAGAGCAUUGUUUCACUAGCAUACAGCAACCCUUGAAAAAGGUGACCUGCACGUACCUGUUUGGGGGAGCAGAUGAUCAGGUGGACACCUCCACUUGGGUUCAGGAUCACGAAGAUAACUCUCCCUACAGCGAUUCAGAGAGUGAACCAGACUCUGAGGUAAGUCCGUGUUUCAGACCUGAUGUGUAUCUAUAU
ensembl:lncRNA